CACACUAUGAUACCGUUAUCGUUCAAAUUAUCGGCCCGUUCGACUGUUACCGUGUCGAUUAUUUCGUCUCGUUUUUGCUGAUUCGUCUUUUGUCUGAGUGAUGCAUCGCUCUUCGCGCUUUGUACCGCUGAGAGGGCUUUUGCAUCAUGCUUUCUCGGAUGGAUCAGCCGUGACGAAGUCGUGUCGCUCUUAUAGACCAUGCAUUCAUAAUCACUGAAGAAGGCUCGAAUUGAGUCGAGUUGAGGCCGAAACGUUUGGAAUAAAGCGAAUGGAUCGUUAGAAUUGAAUCGCUGCUUUGGAAAUUAUUUUAUCCACGCCCUACAACUGCGUUGGCUCUUUAUUGCCUUUCAUUAUUCAUUUAGUUUUGUUAAUUUAGAGGAGCCUUUAACUUUGUUUAAUUUAUUUUAGAUAUUU